CCCUUAGAUGUCCUGGGCCGCACGCGUGCUACACUGACGCCUACAGCGAGUACUUCCCAGCCCCGAGAGGUGGCUGGUAAUCAGCAAUAGGCGUCGUGAUGGGGAUAGAUCUUUGGAAUUAUGGAGCUUGAACGAGGAAUGCCUAGUAAGCGCAGGUCAUUAGCCUGCGCUGAUUAAGUCCCUGCCCUUUGUACACACCGCCCGUCGCUCCUACCGAUUUCGAGUGGUCCGGUGAAUCUUUCGGACUGCGCGCGGCCUCGUGCCGUGUCGCGGAAAGUCAGGUAAACCUUAUCACUUAGAGGAAGGAGAAGUCGUAACA
rnacentral:rRNA from 1 species